rnacentral:rRNA from 1 species
UGGGGAAUAUUGGGGCAAUGGACGCAAGUCUGACCCAGCAACGCCGCGUGAAGGAAGAAGGCUUUCGGGUUGUAAACUUCUUUUAAGGGGGAACAGUAGAAGAGGGUACCCCUUGAAUAAGCCACGGCUAACUACGUGCCAGCAGCCGCGGUAAUACGUAGGUGGCAAGCGUUGUCCGGAUUUACUGGGUGUAAAGGGCGUGCAGCCGGAGAGACAAGUCAGAUGUGAAAUCCGCGGGCUUAAACCCGCGAACUGCAUUUGAAACUGUUUCCCUUGAGUAUCGGAGAGGUAAUCGGAAUUCCUAGUGUAGCGGUGAAAUGCGUAGAUAUUAGGA